AUUGAACGCUGGCGGCAGGCCUAACACAUGCAAGUCGAGCGGAUGACGGGAGCUUGCUCCUUGAUUCAGCGGCGGACGGGUGAGUAAUGCCUAGGAAUCUGCCUGGUAGUGGGGGACAACGUUUCGAAAGGAACGCUAAUACCGCAUACGUCCUACGGGAGAAAGCAGGGGACCUUCGGGCCUUGCGCUAUCAGAUGAGCCUAGUUCGGAUUAGCCAGUAGGUGAGGUAAUGGCUCACCUAGGCGACGAUCCGUAACUGGUCUGUGAGGAUGAUCAGUCACGCUGGAACUGAGACACGGUCCAGACUCCUGCGGGAGGCAGCAGUGGGGAAUAUUGAACAAUGGGCGAAAGCCUGAUCCAUCCAUGCCGCGUGUGUGAAGAAGGUCUUCGGAUUGUAAAGCACUUUAAGUUGGGAGGAAGGGCAGUAAGUUAAUACCUUGCUGUUUUGACGUUACCGACAGAAUAAGCACCGGCUAACUCUGUGCCAGCCGCCGCCGUAAGAC
rnacentral:rRNA from 1 species